CUAAUCAAAUCUUCAGAAGCCUCUACCCUUCCUAAGUAGAAACUUUCAGGUGAUACGGGCAUAUUUUCUUGCGCUUCCUGUUCUUGAUCACUAAGUUUUACUAAUAGGUCCCUUUUUGCUGAUCUGUUCUGGACUCUGCUGCUUACUUCAGCUUCCAGUUUUGCAGCUAUGACAGUGGCUCGACUAAUACAGGACGGAGGUAGCUGCAAUGAGAUGGUGCACAAUCAACUUAAACAAAAAGAGCCAACUUCAUAAAAAAGGUGAACAAUACAUCUCAAUUAUGAAACUCUAUCUCAAAGAUCCAAAAAGUUAAAGAUUCCCUAAUUGGCCAGAUUAAUUAUGAAACCUGAAUUCUGGAGCCCAAUUGACAAGCUAUGUCAACAAAGGGAAUUUUCUCUCUCCUAUUAUCCCCUUUCCUUUCCUUUCAGGCAAAACACUAUGAAUUUCCCUCUCUGUGUUUUGCAUCACGUAACUUAAUAGAAACUCAGUUUAUUGCAAGCUUGUUUUCUUCCAGAAUAUAUAAUCACUUAGACCAACAAAAGGCUGGAGAGAGUCUGAGAAUUACCUGUGCAAGCUGAGCAACCUUAAACCCGAAACUACUCUCUGAGACACCUGGCACAACCUUAUAAAGAUAGGUGACAUCUUGAUCAGAUUUUGAGUCCAUUGGGCCCAUAACCUUGUGUGAGGUCAAAUAUGAAACGUGGUAUGUCCCCACAGAGCCAGUAAACUUGGUCUUUAUGUCAGCAAUCUUAGGGUAGUGAGUAACAAAUAGAACCAUGCAUUUUUUAUGCUCUAGAAGAUAAUCCAAUGUGGCAUAAGCAAUCGCUACUCCAUCAUGUGUACUUGUGCCUCUUCCAAGUUCAUCAACAAUAACCAGUGACUGAGCUGUGCAAUUGCGGAGUAUAUAAGAAGCCUCAUUUAGUUCCUCUAGAAAGGUGCUUCUCCCUUGUUGGAUACUAUCAGAAGCACCCAUCCGAGUGUAGAUGCCAUCCAGCACAUGCAGUUCCGCUGAUGAUGCUGGUACAAAGGAACCAACCUAGAGGUAUCAGAAAGUAUCAAUAAAGCAAUGACCAGAAGGCACUGAUUUUAUUAAUGAGAAGAAAUAAAGAACCAUCAUUAGUAGGAGAAGACAAUUGGUACAAAAUUCAUCUGUUUCAGUGCACAACUAAAAAUCAUGCACAAGUGUACUCAGAAUAAUGUACCAAUCAAUAACACCAGAAGAACGAAAAACUGGCUUAGCAUUAGAAAAACCAAAAAUCAACCAACUCAGCAUUGUCACGAAGUAUGGAGCAUAUAAGAGAGCCAAUGAACAAGAAUACAACCUCAACACCAGGUUUAGGAGUGGAAGAGAGAGAGAAAGCCAAGAACUGACUGAAGUGAAAUAAUAUCCUAGAAAAUGAAUAUGACCAACAACUGAGUGAGUGAAAUAGAACCAAGAACUAACUGAGGUUAAAUAACAUCCCAGAAGAUGAAUAUGACCAACAACUGACUGAGUGAAAUAAGAUCCUAGAAGAUAAACAUGAACAACAAUUUGAAUGAACUCUGAAGUGAAAUGAUAUCCUAGAAGAUGCAGUCUUAUCAUUUAGCAUAAUGAGGAAAGCAAUGAACCAGUUAUUUUCACAUUGACCCAUUAUAAUAAAUACUACUUACUAUCCUACUAGAUAUCUUCAAAAGGUAACAUCUUUAGAUGCACAGUAUGGCAUUCAUGAGCUUAUGGCCUCAUAUUCACCGCAUAAAACAAACAUAUGUUUAAAAUAGCUAUUCAACUACCUGAGCCAUAAUACCAAUGAGAGCAACUUGACGAAUAUAGCAACUCUUUCCACCCAUGUUAGGUCCAGUAAUAAUCUGACAAUACUCUCUCUCAGCGUGCAAGUUUGUAUCGUUCGGGACAAAAUUAUCUAGUAAUAUGGUGUCCAGGACCUGGUCAAAACUAGUAAACAUUAAUUUACAAAAAAAAAAAUGCAAAAAAUGAACACCUUAGCAACGAACAAACCUGAGGAGAACGCUAAGUAAAAGCAAUAAUGAACUUAGUACUUGUAUUACUCAACCAUAUAAUAAGAGCAACUCAGAACAACCAGAGGCAACUAAUGAACUACCAAACAAACGAAACUGAUACAACUACUAGAGCCCGCAUCACAGGAAGGAAGAAAAACAUAAUCUUAUUUACAUCACUCUAUACUCUUUGCACACCAAAUUUUUUUUUUUGAAAGAAUCUGCAAUAUCUAUGAUAAUGAUGAAAAACUUCCAAAUCUUUCUUCUCACAAGUGCAUAAAAUUAUAGCACAAGGGAAAAAUAUUCUUCUCUAAUCCAUUCUUUCUCACACCCAGAAACCAGGGAACAACCAAAGGAGCAGAUGAGCCCCUGCUGGGCUUUCCAUAUAUGAAAAUUGUGUACAAGGAACAAUAAAGAUGGAUGACAGGUUAGGAACUUGAUUAAUUGUAUACUUUUACUAAUAUAUAUUGAAAUCAAUACUUUUUGUCCAUACACUCCCUCAAAAUGCUGUAAGUAAUGAGUGUAGUUAAAUCUGG
rnacentral:lncRNA from 1 species